rnacentral:lncRNA from 1 species
AGCUCUAGGUUGAUCUGCAACUCUAGGUGCUGGAGGUGCCUGUGAAAGUGGCUGCUGAUCAUGCUGCUCAGAGGAUGACGUGUCUGUUCUUGCCCUUUUUCUUAUAGUGCGAGAGGGGUUGUGUCAGCAUUGUUGAUCCUCUGCUAUUUUACCUGAUAGAAAUUAAAGUUUAGCAUCGAGCAUUCACAAUCAUUCAAUGCAAGUAAAUGAAUUAAGCAACAAAUAGAUUGAGACGAAAUCUCGGCAGCUUA